GUUUUACCUGAAAUAAGUAAAACGGGGACGAGAAGUCUUCCCUCACCAGUAAAACCUAAAGUCACUGUAAAGACAGUUGGUGAGAAAACUAUCUAAAACAAAACCACCAUUACAGACUAAAUAGUCAUAUGCAAUCGUAAAUACGGUCUUUUAGAUAGUUUAAGUCUUCAAAUGCAAUUUUAUUCUAUUAUGAAAUAAAAUAUUUAUUUAUUGCAGGUAAACCGACGAAACCAAAUGUUCUCACAACCUUAACCUCAAGAAGUGCAACACAAACAACAUUUUCUUCUGUUACAUCAGGUUCUGACGUCACUAUCCCUGUCAUCAUGUCAGUUGUAGCUGUAAUCUUAGUUGCUGUUGUUGUUGUUGUAGUAGUUUUUGUUUUAGAAAGACGCGGUCAAAUUCCAAGCAUACGCAUCAGAUUUUCUGCUUUAAAAAUGUUUUCUACAAGAACACCCGACCAAUUUCCUGCUGUAAGCACCGUUCAUGGUGCAUUUCAAGGGUCUGCUACUGGACAAAUUGAUGAACGUAAUAGUUAUGUCAACGAAGAAGCAAUAGAAAAUCUCUAUUUAGAUAAUAAUGGUAAAAAUGGUAACAAGGCACACACCUAUUGCAUUCUCGGACCAGGUGCAGUGGAAAGUCAUUCGUAUGACAUGCUUUAUGCGGCAUAGAAAAACCAAUGAUAAAAACUUUGAUUAAUAAUGGAACCGGUGACAAUUAUGAAAAUGUUAAACAUCCUUGUUUUUGAAAUUAAAGAUGUGUAUUUUUGAAGCUUUAUUUUUGGUAUAAAAUUAUGUACAAUCAUGUAGUUAUUAAAAAUGUAAACUAAAAACAGCAAAUUUAUGAUUUAACAUGAGGCAUAGAAUGCAUUCACAUUAGUUAUAGCAAAGACGCUCUAU